rnacentral:rRNA from 1 species
UAAGUCAGAGGUGAAAGGUUGCAGCUCAACUGUAGAAUUGCCUUUGAUACUGGAGCUCUUGAGUUAUGUUGCUGUGGCCGGAACAUGUGGUGUAGCGGUGAAAUGCAUAGAUAUCACAUAGAACACCGAUUGCGAAGGCAGGUCACAAAGCAUAUACUGACACUGAGGGACGAAAGCGUGGGGAGCGAACGGGAUUAGAUACCCCGGUAGUCCACGCCGUAAACGAUGGGUACUAGCUGUUGGGUUUUCGGACUCGGCGGCCAAGCGAAAGUGAUAAGUAUCCCACCUGGGGAGUACGUUCGCAAGAAUGAAACUCAAAGGAAUUGACGGGGGCCCGCACAAGCGGUGGAGCAUGUGGUUUAAUUCGAUGAUACGCGAGGAACCUUACCAGGGCUUAAAUGGGAGAUGACCGGGUCAGAGACGACCCUUCCUUCGGACAUCUUUCAAGGUGCUGCAUGGUUGUCGUCAGCUCGUGCCGUGAGGUGUCAGGUUAAGUCCUAUAACGAGCGCAACCCCUGCCGUUAGUUGCCAGCGAGUCAAGUCGGGGACUCUAACGGGACUGCCGGUGCAAACCGAGAGGAAGGUGGGGACGACGUCAAAUCUUCACGGCCCUUACGUCCUGGGCUACACACGUGCUACAAUGGUCGGUACAAUGGGAAGCCACCCCGUGAGGGGGCGCGGAUCUUAAAAGCCGAUCACAGUUCGGAUCGGGGUCUGCAACUCGACCCCGUGAAGCUGGAAUCGCUAGUAAUCGGAUAUCAGCCAUGAUCCGGUGAUACGUUCCCGGGCCUUGUACACACCGCCCGUCAAGCCAUGAAGCCGGGGGUGCCUGAAGUCCGUCACCGCAAGGAGCGGCCUAGGGCAAGACUG